rnacentral:rRNA from 1 species
AGCAGCCGCGGUAAUUCCAGCUCCAAUAGCGUAUAUUAAAGUUGUUGCAGUUAAAAAGCUCGUAGUUGAAUUUCGGGAUUGACGUGACGGUCGUGCCUUACGGGGUAUGAACUGUCGCCGUUGAUUUCUCACCUUCUGGAGAAGCUCGAUGUCCUUAAUUGGGUGUCUUGCGGAACCAGGACCUUUACCUUGAAAAAAUUAGAGUGUUUAAAGCAGGCAUUAUUGCUCGAAUACAUUAGCAUGGAAUAAUAGAAUAGGACGGCAUGGUUCUAUUUUGUUGGUUUCUAGGAUCACCGUAAUGAUUAAUAGGGAUAGUUGGGGGCAUUAGUAUUCAAUUGUCAGAGGUGAAAUUCUUGGAUUUAUUGAAGACUAACUACUGCGAAAGCAUUUGCCAAGGAUGUUUUCAUUAAUCAAGAACGAAAGUUAGGGGAUCGAAGACGAUCAGAUACCGUCGUAGUCUUAACCAUAAACUAUGCCGACUAGGAAUCAGACGAUGUUAAUUUUUAAUGACUCGUUUGGA